AACGAACGCUGGCGGCGGGGCUUAGGCAUGCAAGUCGAGCGAGAAAGUCUUCGGACGAGUACAGCGGCGUAAGGGUGAGUAAUAGGUAGUCAACGUGCCCAGAAGACGCGAAUAAUUUCCCGAAAGGGAUUGUAAUGCGCGAUGAGACCACGCGCUCUUCGGAGCGAGGGGUCAAAGGUCGGGGAUCCUUCGGGACCCGGCGGCUUUUGGAGCGGACGACCUCCGAUUAGCUAGAUGGCGGGGUAACGGCCCACCAUGGCGAUGAUCGGUAGCCGGCCUGAGAGGGUGUUCGGCCACACUGGGACUGAGACACUGCCCAGACUCCUACGGGAGGCUGCAGUCGCGAAUCAUUCACAAUGGGCGCAAGCCUGAUGAUGCCACGCCGCGUGCGGGAUGAAGGCCCUCUGGGUUGUAAACCGCUGUCAAGAGGGGGAAACGUAUGGUGUUAACAGCGCCAUGCCUGACUGCCCACUAAA
rnacentral:rRNA from 1 species